UCCUCAAAUGUGAUAACUGAGAAUAUACCCUUGAUGGAUGUGGCUAAACUUUAUUUUUGAGGCAGAUCUCCUGUAGCUCUGGCUCCAGUGUUUUAGUGUUGUCCCUGUAUGCAGUUCCUGCAGAGGCCAGAAGAGGGCUUCACAUCCCCUGGAACUGGAUGGAGUUAAGGACAGUUGUAAGCUGCCAUGUGGGUGCUGGGAAUGGAACUGUGUCCUUUGCAAAAGCAGCAAGUACUCUUACCCAUUGAGCCAUCUUUCUAGUUCCCUAAAAGGAACUCUUAAGACAGCACCAAUUUUUCAUUCAGGUAGUAAGUAUGAGUCCUAGUCAGGGCAGAACAUUCUGUUGAGUCUGCAGCCCAGAGCAGAAAACUUCUCUUUCUACUGGGAUUCUUUCAAAAUAGUGGUAAUAAUUGGAGGAAAAUGGCAAACCUACACAGUCCGAUUUAAAGAAGGUUGUCUGGCCUUUUCUGAGUCUUGUGGAAGGAUGAUUGACUUCCCCUGGCUAUCGCUUGGCUGCUGCUCAGGCCCCUGUUCAACUACUAAACCAGUCAGGUUGCAUUCAUUAUUGUGGAAUAGGUGUGGACUCAGUUGUGUUUUCUCGCCUUUACUUAAGAGACCAGGAAGAGGGUCUGUACAGAGGGUGGUGUAGGGAGUGUGGUUGCCAGAGGAGAAGCUACUUCAACCAUUGUCCUCUCCUCCCCAAAGAAUGAACUUUCUUGACCCCCAACUAACUUGGUGGUUGUGGGUCCUCCUGCCUGAGGCACUCCCUCUGGUAGUUUGGUAGGCAGAAUAAACCAGCAAGAGGCUCUCUGGGAAAGUUGUUUUCACUGCCUGCUGAUGGAGUGAGUAAUGCAGAAGAACCGGAAAAGCAAGUUUAGCUUGUGUGUGGGAUUGAAGAGGGAAGGUGACAGCAACUUGACUUGGCUUCAAGCAGUCAGUGCCUGUACCCAGAGUCUCUGGUGAUGAUUGGCCCUUGUAGCCACUAGGCUUUUCUCUCUGUGGAGGCUCCUUUGGGUUUGGGUCUGUUCUAGAAGCAGUGGUUGGGGCCCUAUGAGGACAAAGAAGUGCCUGUGUGAACAGUAGGGUGGAUCUACAUGCUUGCAUUGUUGAAUGUCUUAAAUCUGGAACUCAUCAUUGAAUUCUAUUUCCUUCUUCCUAGGUGAUUCUUGUUAAAAAGAAAGAAAAUGUUCACUGUGGUUAUCAUGGCCUUUCCAUAGAGAAGGCAGGUUAGGCCCAGCACACUCAGCUGUGGGCUGUGCAGAUCACAUGCAAGAAAGCAGCACUGAAUAACAGUAGUCCUGGACAAUGAGACACUCAUGCAGGCAAACUUGGCUGAGGUCCCCGCCACUAGACACAGUUAUUCAAGGUGUCUGUCUGCUACUGUAGGGACUUGAGAGGGGUGCACAUAUCCUCUCCCCUUAAUCUUCCUCUGGAUUUUUUGGGGGGGGGGUCCUGCUUUUCCUUUUGAAACAGGGUCUUACGUAGUUCAGACUGUCCUUCAACCCCCUACUCAUAGCCAAGGAUCUUAAACUCUGCCUCAACCUUACUGGGGUCAUAUAUUUGCUCAUACAUGGAUAGUGAGCACAACAACUAUUGUUUUCUUCACAGCAUCUGAACAUAAAGAGCUAUCUUAAUGUCCCCUCUGCCUUACCAAGCCCCCCUGGCACACUGGUGGCACCCUAGUCACCUCUGGUGGAUCCCUUUUGUUUCUCCAUUGGUAACUUUUUUUUUUUUUUUUUUCCGAGACAGAGUUUCUCUGUGUAGCUCUGGCUGUCCUGGAACUCACUCUGUAGAUCAGGCUGGCCUCGAACUCAGAAAUUCACCUGUCUCUGCCUCCCAAGUGCUGGGAUUAAAGGCGUGCACCAUUUUUGAUGUGUUGAUUUAGAAGGACAACUGAUUGCUGAGCAGAUAGUUAAGCUGUAUCUGUGGAGCUUUUUUGUUUAAAAUAAAUUAUGUGUAUUGCCUCCUUGGUCCUCCCCUCCCCCAUACUUGAGUGCUUCCUGCUCUCUGGCAUCUUCUUAAUUCAUCUUGGGCUCACUUUCUUUUGCCUGGUUUGGAUCCUCAUGGGAAGCCUUGUCAUGUUGAAAUUGUUUUUAACUAUCUAUAAUUGGUAGGAAUUAAAGGUUGAGAGCCAUAAUCUCAGAAUUUUUAAAGAGCGUUGCCUGAGAGUCUUCCUCCCACCAGCACUGACUGCAUUGUCAUUGUCACAGAGUGUUUUGGCAGUAGGCAGCAGCUCUUAGAGCAUGUGCUCCCUCUGCCUAGCUAAGAGUCUCCCUCUGUAGUUAUUCUUGUCAAUCUGUCCUGUCCAUCUGUUUUCUUUCUCUUCUCAUUUCCUUCCACUUUCCUCUCCCGUCGUCUUGUCUUCAUGUUCUUCCUCCUUUGUUUGGUAGUUGGUUUUGUUUCUUAGUUUUUCCUAGGUAAGGUCUCAGACUCUGGCUGGAAUCUGCUAGCCCCAGUGCUGGGAUUCUAGGCAUGACUCAACAUCUAGAUUUCUUCCUCCUUUUUCUUUGACAGUCUCACUAUAUGUUCCAGAUUAGCCUCAUACUUUCUGUCAUCGUGUUCAUAUUUUUCCUAUUCUGCUUUCUGUGAGCCUUCAUUUUGAACUUUUCGUGUCCCUCAUUUUCUUUUGUUCCAGUAUCCUGUUCUUGGUGGACCUCUGUACUGAUACAUUCAGGCUUUGGGGUGUUCUAUUGUUGUUGAGGCAGGGUCUCACUAUCUCCCUCAAGUUACUUGGGACUUAUUUUUUAAACCAUCCUGGCCUUGACCUCAGAGAGCUACCUACCUCUGACUCCUGGUUGGUGGGUUCCUGCCUCUAUCUACCUAGUGCUGGGUUUACACGCAUGCACAUCAUACCCUGUUUAUGUAGUGUUGGGGAUUGAACUUGGGAUUUCAUGGAUGCUCUGCCAACUGAGCUCCAUCCCUACCCUGAGUUGUUUGUUUGUUUGAUUUUUUUGUGGUGGCUUUUCUUUUUAAGAUUUGUUUAUUUAGGUAUAUGAGUGCUCUACUUGCACGUAUGCCUGCAUAACAGAAGAAGGCAUCAGAUCUCAUUACAGAUGGUUGUGAGCCACCAUGUGGGUGCUGGGAAUUGAACUCAGGUCCUCUGGAAGAGCAGUCAGUGCUCUUAACUUCUGGGCUGUCUCUCUAGCCCUGGUGACUUGGUUUCUAAGUAGUCUCUCUCCUGUUUUGGCUUGCUUCCAGUCAAAAAGGCUCCCUUUUUGCUUUUUGGAAUCAAAAAGGCUUUUAGAGAGGCUUUUAAAGAGAGAUGGAGCUAGGCUUUGAGGAGCUGCUUCUGUUCAUAUCUUCUGGGGCAUUCUGAGAGUGCCCCAUAUCUCUGUCCUGUGGUUCAACUGCUCUUACACACCAUGAGGGGCUGAAGGUACUCACGGCUGGAUCCUAUCCAUGACCACUGUCCCAGGGACUCCAGUUGUUCACUUGUUUGGGGUUUAGUCACUGUGGCUUCUGUACUGUUGAACCCAUCCUGGGAUUUUUCUGGGAACUUUUUGAGGAAGGAGUACUUAAGAAGUGAAGUGGUGACACACACCUGUAAUUCCAGAACUCGGAUGUAGAGGCAGGUGGAUCUCUGUAAGUUCAAGGCUAGCCUGUUCUAUAGAAGAAGUUGAGUUCUAGGAUAACUAAGGUAACACAGAGAAAUCUGUCUCAAAAAAACAAAAC
rnacentral:lncRNA from 1 species